rnacentral:tRNA from 1 species
GUGGGUGGCACAGUGGUUAGAGCCUAGGUCUCGUAACCCAAAGGUUCUGAGUUUGAACCUCGCCAGAGGCA